rnacentral:rRNA from 1 species
UACAGAGGUGGCAAGCGUUGUUCGGAAUUACUGGGCGUAAAGGGCGAGUAGGUGGCCAUCUAAGUCAGACGUGAAAUCCCCCGGCUUAACCUGGGAACUGCGUCUGAUACUGGACGGCUUGAGUAUGGGAGAGGAACGUAGAAUUCCUGGUGUAGCGGUGAAAUGCGUAGAGAUCAGGAGGAACACCCGUGGCGAAGGCGGCACUCUGGGUCGGCCCUGACGCUGAGGCGCGAAAGCGUGGGGAGCGAACGGG